UGCGUAGGGGGCGAGCGUUGUCCGGAUUUAUUGGGCGUAAAGAGCUCGUAGGCGGUUUGGCAAGUCGGGUGUGAAAACUCCGGGCUCAACUCGGAGACGCCACUCGAUACUGCCAUGACUCGAGUCCGGUAGGGGAGUGCGGAAUUCCUGGUGUAGCGGUGAAAUGCGCAGAUAUCAGGAGGAACACCGGUGGCGAAGGCGGCACUCUGGGCCGGUACUGACGCUGAGAAGCGAAAGCAUGGGGAGCGAACAGG
rnacentral:rRNA from 1 species